UAGGGGAAUCUUCCACAAUGGACGCAAGUCUGAUGGAGCAACGCCGCGUGAGUGAAGAAGGUCUUCGGAUCGUAAAACUACUGUUGUUAGAGAAGAACACGAGUGNGAGUAACUGUUCAUUCGAUGACGGUAUCUAACCAGCAAGUCACGGCUAACUACGUGCCAG
rnacentral:rRNA from 1 species